GGCUGCGAUCAUACCAGCACUAAUGCACUAUAUCCCAUCAGAAUUCCACAAGUAAGCGUGCAAGGACGAGAGUAGUACUAGGAUGGGUGAGCUCCUUGGAAGUCCUCGUGUUGCACCUC
rfam:Lupinus angustifolius cultivar Tanjil chromosome LG15, whole genome shotgun sequence.